rnacentral:misc_RNA from 1 species
GAUAUCGCGGAGCGGCGCUGCUGGGCUGUUUUUGCGUCCACAUGGAUCCAUCAACGUGCAUAUGGAACCCUAUCCAGUGCACUCUGCAGCUCGUCCUCAGCCGCCCCAGCAGCGGCGCGGCGAUUCGAGCUGGCUCCGCCUACCACGGCACGUCCGUCAUCCGCUACCGACGCGAGCCGUAUCGGGACACAGCAGACAGCGCCGAGGGAGCUGCUAGCUCUUGUGCUACUUUUUCCUCUGAAGGCAACUCCGAGUACGACGACUUCCUGCGGCACCGUCGCGUGAUAGCCGAGAAAAACGCCCUGCACCUUCACGCACUCACCACGGCUGGCGGUAUAUACAAGGACGCCAAGGUGCUCGAUGUCCAGUCCUACCAGGUGAGGUGCGUCUCGGCCUCUACUGAAGCGGCCGCGGCAGUGCUCAAGGUUGUGUCCGUCGAGCAGGAGGAUGCUGGUGCGGCAUCAGCGGACAGCAGCUUCAGCGGUGGAGCUGCGAAAAGGAAGGGAAGCUCCAAGGUUCGGAAAGGGGGCGGCGCGGCUGUUGUGGAACACGAUGCGCAGACGUCUGACGACUCGCGCGCACCCGCCGCAGUGGACUGGGGAUCUAAGCUGAUCCUAUUUGAAGGCGCCGGCAGCUUACCCCCGUUCUCUGAAGUGGAUCUGACAACUCAGUUUGUUGGCAGAGUUCAGUCUUUUGACUGUGGCGGCAUCUACGCCGCCUGCGGGAUCGGUAGCAAUCCCGGCACCGAGGAUGUACCCCUACUCACACAUUUUGAGGUGCGCUUCGCCCGGUGCGCGUUUCCGGCCCCCGACGACCCGCAGUACCGCCUCGACUGGCAGCUCAAGAGUAUCCAGGUGCCUAGUAGCUUUCGCACCAUCUUGACGAACGGCGAGGAGCGCGGCCGCAAGGAACUGGCGGCGCAGCAGGCGGUGCAGGUGAGCUUUUCGCCGUGCGGCCCGCUACCCGCGUACGUCUUCUCGUUUGCGUGCUUCCCAGGCCUUGCUAAGCCGGAGAGCACAUCCGCAACUGGCGAUGGGCUGGAGGUGGUAGAGGGAGGCGUGGACAUCCCGAAGUUUGCCGGUGACAUCGCGAGCGGCGUCAGCCCCACCAGUAACCUGUCCUACACACUCGUCCCCGUCCGUGUACUGGCGCGACGACAAGCGCGAAUCGCUACGGCAACCCUCGAGCGCGUCUUACGCCUCACCAUCGAGGCUGUCACAGCGCUCCAGCAGCUCUUUCAGUGCCCGCUACCGCUCCUUCAGUGCGAGCACCUGGACGUCCUUCUUGGUCCAACAAUGCCGUAUAUCUCUGGUAUGGAGCACCACUGCUCGAUUAUUCUCAACGAGGCCAUCUACCAGCCAGGCAAGAAAACUGCUGCCGCUGGUGGAGGAAGUGCGGACCGUACCGCCGAGGUGGAACAGACAGAGCUCAUUGUGCACGAGCUGGCACACCACUGGGUAGGAAACGCCGUGGGACUGCCGUUUGCCGUGAAGGAGGGCAUCUGCCAGGUGAUCGAGCAGUGCCUCGGCGACACGCUACUGGGCAAGCCCAUGCGCACGUACAAGGCAGACAGCAGCGGCAGCACAAAGCCGGAGAGCUCGUCGCCCUGCUCCUCGACUGCUACGCUGCCGAAGAGCGCCAUUCGGGCCUCUGAGAAAGGCCGCGAGUUCACAGGCACCUCGUACCAGCACGCAUUCCGCGCUGUUAAGCGGCUGGUCGCCGCUCACGGGUUUGACCACUUUGCCGCGUGCCUGCGACAGCUCAUGCACGUGCACGUCGUUGUUCCAGCCAUCGCAGUCGAGGAGAGCGGCGGAAUUCAGGUGCUGCGGUGCAUCCGUGCUGACGUCGCCUCUCCGCCGUACCUAAGCACGGAGCAGUUUCUGCGCACCGUGGAGAGCGCGUUGUGAUUUUCCAUGAUGCGUACAUAUUGCAUGGGGUGCGCUCUCAUCGGAAAAGAUGCGUCUCUGAUGUUAUGGUGGAGACGCUGUGGAUACCGAUUAAGCCUGCAUGGGCGAAACCCUGCCGGAAGAG